CACGUAGGGGGCGAGCGUUGUCCGGAUUUAUUGGGCGUAAAGAGCUCGUAGGCGGUUUCGUAAGUCGGAUGUGAAAACUCCAGGCUCAACUUGGAGACGCCAUUCGAUACUGCGAUGACUUGAGUCCGGUAGGGGAGUGUGGAAUUCCUGGUGUAGCGGUGAAAUGCGCAGAUAUCAGGAGGAACACCGGCGGCGAAGGCGGCACUCUGGGCCGGUACUGACGCUGAGACGCGAAAGCGUGGGGAGCGAACAGG
rnacentral:rRNA from 1 species